rnacentral:rRNA from 1 species
UACGUAGGGGGCAAGCGUUGUCCGGAAUCAUUGGGCGUAAAGAGCGUGUAGGCGGCCCGAUAAGUCCGCUGUGAAAAGUCCAGGGCUCAACCCUGGGAUGCCGGUGGAUACUGUCGGGCUCGAGUCCGGAAGAGGAGUGUGGAAUUCCUGGUGUAGCGGUGAAAUGCGCAGAUAUCAGGAGGAACACCGGUGGCGAAGGCGGGUCUCUGGGCCGAUACUGACGCUGAGGAGCGAAAGCGUGGGGAGCGAACAGG